rnacentral:rRNA from 1 species
UACGUAGGGGGCGAGCGUUGUCCGGAGUUACUGGGCGUAAAGGGCAUGCAGGCGGUGCGCUGCGUUUGCCAUGACAGCUCCUCGCUUCACGAGGAGAGAGUGGCAAAAACGAGCGCACUUGAGGGACACAGAGGGACACAGAAUUCCGGGUGGAGUGGUGAAAUGCGUAGAGAUCCGGAGGAAUACCAAAGGCGAAGGCAGUGUCCUGGGUGUUACCUGACGCUGAGGUGCGAAAGCCAGGGGAGCGAACGGGAUUAGAAACCCGGUAGUCC